UUCGAAGUUAAUCUCUUCAUGAAAGUUGUAAAGCUUGUCAUUAUGAGCUUUUAAAUUUUUUUUUCUAUAUUAUUUAUACUUCUACAUUAAUUAAAAAACUAUUAUAGACUUUACUUAAAUAAUAGCCCUAAGUUAAAUAAGAGUAAAUAUGUAUUGUUGGAUUCCAUUUCACUUAUAUUAUUAGAACUAUUUUGGACGAAAAAACCCCUUAUCGAUGCCAAUAUUUACCAAUUUUACCAUUUGAUCAAUUUAGGUGAGCGAAAAUAUACUUAAAAGAAAAAUACGUUUUUAUGUUUUGGAUGUGACAAUAUGGUAUGUAUAUACUUAUUUAGUAUUAUGUUUUUCAUUUGAUUAUUUAUUGGUUUAAAAUAUAUUUUCCUUAACAGGUAAUGUGUCGGAUCAUAUUACCUGUUAAUAUUAUCAGGUCGAUCUCGGGUUGGGUUAUUUUACACGUUUAUUUUAACGGGUGUUACACGACAUGACCCGUUAAGAUAUCGGGUAUGACACGAAAACGACACAAACAGAGAAAACACAACACGAAUGUCAGGUCUAGACUCGUGGU
rnacentral:lncRNA from 1 species